rnacentral:rRNA from 1 species
CCGACCUGGCUCACACCGGUUUAAACUCAGAUCAUGUAAAAUUUCAAAGGUCGAACAGACCUAACUUACUAGCUUCUACACCAAUAAUUAAUUUUAAUCCAACAUCGAGGUCGCAAUCUAUUUAUUCGAUAAGAACUCUGUAAAAAAUUACGCUGUUAUCCCUAAGGUAAUUUACUCUUAUAAUCUAAAUAUUAGGAUCAUAAACAUACAAAUAAAUAAUUUUAUACAAGAAAAGUUAAAUAAAUUUUCCUAUCACCCCAACAAAAUAAAUAUAUUAAAACUUAAUGUAUUUACUUCCUAAAAAUCAAGCUUCAAUAUAUUUAUCAAACUCUAUAGGGUCUUCUCGUCUUCCAUGUAAAUUUAAGCUUUUUUACUUAAAAAUAAAAUUAUAAUAAAUUUUUCUAGAGACAGUCAUUUUCUCAUCAAACCUUUCAUACAAGCUUUCAAUUAAAAAACUAAUGACUAUGCUACCUUUGCACGGUCAAUAUACCGCGGCCAUUCAAUAACUCUCAGCGGGCAGGUCAGACUUGAAAUUAUUAUCAACAAGCCAUGUUUU